AAAGUUUCCUUCGGGGAGCGAGUAGAGUGGCGCACGGGUGAGUAACACGUAGGUAAUCUACCUUUGGAUGGGGAAUAACAGCCGGAAACGGUUGCUAAUACCGCAUAAUGCAGCGGCACCUAAUGGUGACAGUUGUUAAAGCGGGGGAUCGAAAGACCUCGCGUCUGAAGAGGAGCCUGCGGCGGAUUAGCUAGUUGGUAAGGUAAUGGCUUACCAAGGCUAUGAUCCGUAACCGGCCUGAGAGGGCGGUCGGUCACACUGACACUGACAUACGGGUCAGACUCCUACGGGAGGCAGCAGUCGGGAAUUUUGGGCAAUGGGCGAAAGCCUGACCCAGCAACGCCGCGUGAAGGAUGAAAUCCCUCGGGAUGUAAACUUCGCAAGAACAGGAAGAAUAAGUAAGGGUUAAUAUCUCUUACGAUGACGGUACUGUUUGUAAGCUCCGGCUAACUCCGUGCCAGCAGCCGCGGUAAUACGGGGGGAGCAAGCGUUGUUCGGAUUUACUGGGCGUAAAGGGCGCGUAGGCGGCCACCGCAAGUCGGUUGUGAAAUCUCUGGGCUUAACCCAGAAAGGUCAACCGAUACUGCGGGGCUAGAGUGCAGAAGGGGCAACUGGAAUUCUCGGUGUAGCGGUGAAAUGCGUAGAUAUCGAGAGGAACACCUGCGGCGAAGGCGGGUUGCUGGGCUGACACUGACGCUGCAGCGCGAAAGCUAGGGGAGCGAACGGGAUUAGAUACCCCGGUAGUCCUAGCCUUAAACGAUGAAUGCUUGGUGUCUGGGGUUUUAUAGUCCCCGGGUGCCGUCGCUAACGCUUUAAGCAUUCCGCCUGGGGAGUACGGUCGCAAGACUG
rnacentral:rRNA from 1 species